GCAAGGUUUCCGUAGGUGAACCUGCGGAAGGAUCAUUAUUGAAUACGAUUGGUACUGAUGCUGGCUCUUAACUGAGCAUGUGCUCGUCCAUCUAUUUAUCUUCUCUUGUGCACAUUUUGUAGUCUUGAACGUACCUCUCGCAGUAAAAUGCGGGUUGGGAGCUUGGGCGCAAGCCCUUCUCCUGCUUCUUCAAGGCUAUGUUUUCAUAUACACUAUAAAGUUACAGAAUGUCUUUUAACGAUUGCGCUUGUCGUAGUCAUUAAACCUAUACAACUUUCAGCAACGGAUCUCUUGGCUCUCCUAUCGAUGAAGAACGCAGCGAAAUGCGAUAAGUAAUGUGAAUUGCAGAAUUCAGUGAAUCAUCGAAUCUUUGAACGCACCUUGCGCCCUUUGGUAUUCCGAAGGGCAUGCCUGUUUGAGUGUCAUUAAAUUAUCAACCUUGCUCGCUUUUACCGGCUUGAGUUAGGCUCGGACUUGAGGGCUUGCUGGCUUCCUUCAGUGGAUGGUCUGCUCCCUUUAAAUGCAUUAGUGGGAUCUCUUGUGGACCGUCACUUGGUGUGAUAAUUAUCUAUGCCACUUGACCUUGAAGCAAACCUUAUGGGAACCCGCUCAUAACCGUCUUCGGACAACUUUUGACAUUUUGACCUCAAAUCAGG
rnacentral:rRNA from 1 species